UGUGACCUGUAAAAUUAUGGUUGCCUUGGUGAAACCAUAGUAACUCAAAACUCUAUAAUCUGUGAGAGUCUUCACAGCCUCAGAAUGCUUAAAUUGCCUAGUUUGGUGCUGUUCUUUCAUUUGUUUGAUCAUGUGGUUGCCCAGGAGGUGCAUUCCCUGAUAACAUCUCCAUCACAUUUUGAAAGACACCACUUAGUUCCUGAGGGAUUUGAUCAGAAUUUAAAUUAACAUUGCCCCCGAAUUGAAUAUCGGGUUCGUUAUCUUCACUACUAUUGGCAUCUUCAUGACUUCCAUUCAUCUGAUCAUGCGGUUGCCCAGGAGGUGCAUUCCCUGAAAACAUAUGCAUCACGGAUUGAAAGGCACCUCUUAGUUCCUGAGGAAUUUGAUCUUGGUUUACAUUAACGUUGCCCCCAAAUCGAAUUUCCGGUUCAUUAGCUCCACUACUAUUGGCAUCUUCUUGACCUUCCUGAGAAUGUGACCCCUGAC
rnacentral:lncRNA from 1 species